ACACAGCUGGACAGAGGGACGA
rnacentral:miRNA from 1 species